UACGUAGGUGGCAAGCGUUGUCCGGAUUUAUUGGGUUUAAAGGGUGCGUAGGCGGCGCUGUAAGUCAGAGCUGAAAUAUCCCGGCUUAACCGGGAGGGUGGCAUUGAUACUGCGGGGCUAGAGUACAGAUGAGGUAGGCGGAAUUGACGGUGUAGCGGUGAAAUGCUUAGAUAUCGUCAAGAACACCUAUAGCGAAGGCAGCUUACUAGGCUGUAACUGACGCUGAGGCACGAAAGUGUGGGGAUCAAACAGG
rnacentral:rRNA from 1 species